GCCAAAUGAUGCUAAACAGAUCACAUAGCACACAGUGCAAAGAUGACUUUUUAUCUAUCACCCAAUGCUGAUGGCU
ensembl:snoRNA SNORD83 Small nucleolar RNA SNORD83